rnacentral:tRNA from 1 species
GCCCGCAGAAGUCCUCACAAGUCCACCCGAAUCCGAACAGUUCGCACUCGUAAUGCGUAGGUCAGGAGUUCGAUUCUCCUCUCGGGCUCCA